rnacentral:rRNA from 1 species
AACGAACGCUGGCGGCGUGCUUAACACAUGCAAGUCGAACGUGAAAGGGGCUUCGGCCCUGAGUAAAGUGGCGCACGGGUGAGUAACGCGUGGAUAACCUACCCUGGAAUCUGGGAUAACAUCUCGAAAGGGGUGCUAAUACCGGAUAAGCCCACGGGGACUUUGGUCUCUGCGGGAAAAGGUGGCCUCUGAAUAUGCUACUGUUUUGGGAUGGGUCCGCGUACCAUUAGCUAGUUGGUAGGGUAAAGGCCUACCAAGGCGACGAUGGUUAGCUGGUCUGAGAGGAUGAUCAGCCACACUGGAACUGAGACACGGUCCAGACUCCUACGGGAGGCAGCAGUGGGGAAUUUUGCGCAAUGGGGGAAACCCUGACGCAGCAACGCCGCGUGAGUGAUGAAGGCCUUCGGGUCGUAAAGCUCUGUCAGAGGGGAAGAAAUGUGGGGCGGUUAAUACCCGUUUCACUUGACGGUACCCUCAAAGGAAGCACCGGCUAACUCCGUGCCAGCAGCCGCGGUAAUACGGAGGGUGCGAGCGUUGUUCGGAAUUAUUGGGCGUAAAGCGCGUGUAGGCGGUCUUUUAAGUCUGAUGUGAAAGCCCUGGGCUCAACCUGGGAAGUGCAUUGGAAACUGGGAGACUUGAAUACGGGAGAGGGUAGUGGAAUUCCUAGUGUAGGAGUGAAAUCCGUAGAUAUUAGGAGGAACACCGGUGGCGAAGGCGGCUACCUGGACCGAUAUUGACGCUGAGACGCGAAAGCGUGGGGAGCAAACAGGAUUAGAUACCCUGGUAGUCCACGCCGUAAACGAUGAGUACUAGGUGUUGCGGGUAUUGACCCCUGCAGUGCCGCAGCUAACGCAUUAAGUACUCCGCCUGGGAAGUACGGUCGCAAGACUAA